rnacentral:rRNA from 1 species
CAGCCGCCGCGGUAAUACGAGGGGUGCAAGCGUUAUUCGGAUUGAUUGGGUGUAAAGGGUGUGCAGACGGCUUAUUAAGUCACUUGUUAAAUUCUUCGGCCUAACUGAAGGUCUGCAAGUGAUACUGAUGAGCUAGAGGGUGGAAGAGAGAAGUGGAAUUCUCGGAGUAGCGGUAAAAUGCGUAGAUCUCGAGAGGAACACCAAUGGCGAAGGCAGCUUCUUGGUCCAUUCCUGACGUUCAUACACGAAAGCAUGGGGAGCAAACAGGAUUAGAUACCCCCGUAGUCCCUGUCUCUUAUAC